UGAGGACAGCUAGAAGAUUAUCUUCAG
rnacentral:piRNA from 1 species